GGGGAGAGUGUGUAAAUCGAGA
rnacentral:siRNA from 1 species